GUGCUUACUUCGGCUGCACAUAUACUAAAAUUGGAAUGAUACACACAACAUUAGCAUGGCCUCUGCACAAGGAUGAUAUGCAAAUUUGUGAAGAAUUCCAUAUUUUU
ensembl:snRNA U6 U6 spliceosomal RNA